AGCACUGAUUAAGUCCUUCCCUUGUGCUAGACCCGGUUCUUCGUGUCGCGUUCGCCACCUUCCUGCCUCCUCCCAGUAGCCCCGUGACACACCUGCUCACAUCCUGUCUGUUUCAGAAAUGAGGCGACCAAAGCAGGAAAGCACGCCCACAGGAUGCUGAUCAGCACGGCAUGCGUUGACGAGUAGAAACCAAGAGACAUGACCAGUGAGGGUACUGGCAGUGGCUGUGUGGCUCUAGUCACGCUACGUCACCGUCUAAAAAUGAGAACGCUACCAGUCUUCCAGCACCUGAAGAUCUGAGGAACAACCGUAAGGACAAGACAACUUAAAAUCUUACCUGCCUCAUGAAUUGCAAGUCUAAAACCACCAAGAAGCCUUCCUUACCUUCCUGGUCUUCCUUGAUUAUGACCAUCCCAGGUUCUUGAUGCCUGUAUGUGUCCAAUCAUUUCUGAGUUAUUCUGCCAUCGUACACAGACUGUGUUAUCAUUUCAAGCAGGAAAUGUAGCCUUUCCUUUAAUUUACACGCAUGUGCACACACACAGCGUCUGUGUGCAAGGUGGUCCUCACCAAAGGUUCUUUAGGAAGGCUAGAGCCAAGAAUUACCUCGUGUCAACAAAACUCCAAAUGCGAUACCAGACAUCAUUUUCUUUUUUUUUCUUUUUUUUCUUUUUGUUUAACAUUUUUUUAAAAUA